AAUAACUGUAUGGAAAAAGAAUAAUGUUAAUAUUUAAUUAAAAGAAUAUUUAAUUAAAUGUUGAUCUCUGUUUAAGGAUUUGCCACAGAGAUACCAAAUUUAUUUUCCGUUGGCCGAAUUAUAUCAUGGAUAUUCUAAUAAAUCCACCAAAAAAAUUUAAAAAAAGAAACUCUUCUACUGCUAAAUUCAAGUUAAUUUGACUCAGAAGUCAAGGCUGAUGGAAGCAAAUCACAGCUCUGGGGUAAAUUAAUCUAAUUUAGAAUCAUUUCAAAGGGAGUGCAAAGGUGCCUUGGAGUAGUUAAUGUGAUUGAGGGUUUUUUUUUGAGGUCAGUGAUGUGCAAGGAGGAAGACCCUGGUUCUAUUUUUGAUAUAUAUGAAUAUUAAUGAGUUUGCACUGCUAUAAUUUGGCCAAAGUAAAAUAAAUUUGAUACCUCUGUGGCAAAUCCUUCAGACAGACACAAGGACUUAAACUAUUCUUUUUCAUACAAUUAUUUCAAAUAUAUUUACUUUUCACUAAGCUGAAUUUUUUCUCCCAUAGAAAAUUUUGUCUUUUUUUGCCUGGGAUUAUUGGAUCUGUCCAGAAUUAAGGAAAAUAUUUUCACUUUGCCAUCUGAGCACCUUUGGCUCGAGGUUUUAUUUUACCAGCUACCCUUCCCACAAGAGAAACGCAAUCACAAUUUGCUUAAUUGCUGAAUAAUUGAUAAGAAAAAUGAAAGAAUGAAGAAGCAGCUGAAAUAUGAGCCGUGACCUGUGGCCCUGACGGAUCUGAGGCUGAGCUAAUUUGUCAUUCCCACUGGAGAGCCACCAAAGGCUCUGCUGGGAGAUCUUUUCAUUGCUGCUGAUCAAAAAAUGGAAUUUUCCUGGUGAGCCAUUUGUCUCUGCCUCGUUUCUGCCAGCAGGAGGGAGGGCUGCAUGCAGCUGGCAGGUCUGAGAUGAUGAAGAUGAUCCAAAUCCUUGCAUCCCUCGAUCCCAAGGAGCUGUAUCCAUCCAGGAGAGCAAACAGAGCUCUGCUGUUCCCUCUUUUUAAACACCUUGUGCUUUCCACCCGGGCUGAUGGGUACAGGCAGGCUCUGAGGUUUUGCUGAUAAGGGUAUCAGGAAUGUUCUGUCCAUGACAACUAUUCCUCGUUUCUCUGAUGAAUCAUUAGCAGCCGAUUUGCAGGAGGCUUUGGGGCAAGUCCCCACCAGUCCUCAGCUGCAGGAACAUUUAUUUGCUGUUUUUUGUUGGUAGGCAGAGGCAGGUCCUGGACACUGCCCACUCCUCGUGACUCACACUGGAGCAAUCCCUUUUUUCUGUUUUCAUUGGGAUAAAAAUCAUCUCCAGGAAUGGAUGGAGAAGGCUGCGUUGUUCAGCUGGUCGUUCACAGUGUGAAAUCAGGUCCUAAUGAGUGGUGAAACUGCAAACCAUGGAGCAGGAUGUAUUGAAAAGGAGAAAGAGAUGUUCUUGUGCCCAGACCCCAAAUAAGAGACAGGUAAGAAAAUACCUGUAAACUCCUUACAGGAAUACCAGAAAGCUCCAAAACUUCUGGCUUUGUCUUCUACUUUCUCUCUCUGGGACCUUCAGGAGAAGCAAACCAAGAUCCUCAGGCUUUUCCAUCAACUUCCAGCCCUUCCUCUGCCUCGUGGGUUCUGUUUCUCCCCGUGUUUAACUCUUAAACAUUUCAGCCCUGCAAAUUGAAGCCCCUGUGUUUGUUUUCUCCCUUCCCCCAUCCCUGGGAUAUUUAGGAUAAAAUUCAGUGUAAAAUCAGAGCCCACAGCAGAGAUUCUGUGCUGCUCACAUCAGGUUUUCCCAGUCCUGAGCCGUGCAGCUGGGCACAAUGCUCACUUUGAAAUCCCACACCACGCACG